rnacentral:rRNA from 1 species
GAUGAACGCUGGCGGCGUGCCUAAUACAUGCAAGUCGAGCGAAUGGAUUAAGAGCUUGCUCUUAUGAAGUUAGCGGCGGACGGGUGAGUAACACGUGGGUAACCUGCCCAUAAGACUGGGAUAACUCCGGGAAACCGGGGCUAAUACCGGAUAACAUUUUGAACCGCAUGGUUCGAAAUUGAAAGGCGGCUUCGGCUGUCACUUAUGGAUGGACCCGCGUCGCAUAAGCUAGUUGGUGAGGUAACGGCUCACCAAGGCAACGAUGCGUAGCCGACCUGAGAGGGUGGUCGGCCACACUGGGACUGAGACACGGCCCAGACUCCUACGGGAGGCAGCAGUAGGGAAUCUUCUGCAAUGGACGAAAGUCUGACGGAGCAACGCCGCGUGAGUGAUGAAGGCUUUCGGGUCGUAAAACUCUGUUGUUAGGGAAGAACAAGUGCUAGUUGAAUAAGCUGGCACCUUGACGGUACCUAACCAGAAAGCCACGGCUAACUACGUGCCAGCCGCCGCGGUAA